CAUCGGAUCGUCGCGGAUCCAGAGUCAAGGUAGAACAUUCUCUCGGCCAAUUAUUAUGUGUAUACCGCGAAACUCUGCGCUAUAGAGUGGGUGCACGUAAAAUAUAUCGAAUUGAUAUAAAACGGGCGUAAAAAAUUGUUUACAUCAAACGGGAAGUUUGUUUUCGUGACAAAGCCGGAAACUAUACUCUCGUUCUAUCGAAUUACUGUACGUUGCGUACUCGUAACGAUUGUGCAGGUAUAAAGUACACCUGUCGAGGUUUAUUCGGAAUGAACUCGUGGCCAAGAGUCGUCAGCCGGACAAAAAACUAUUAUAAAGCUGAAGCGUACUUGAAAAUUCGUCCAUUUCGAUCGCGGGCGUGGAAUUAUCCAGAAUCAAUAUAAAUAUUGAAUCAUAUAUCGUGCUAAUUUCAAUGAACGAAAAAUUGUUCCGAAGAUUUUCAACCGACUUUGUACAUCCUGUUUCGUUUUUUUUUUUUAUUCUUAUCCGGUAAUGGAGCAGAUCAAGACUGUCGUACUUUCCUGUCUUUUAAUUGAAUAAUUCACUUUGGCCUCCGAAGAUUCAGUUAUUUUCCUUAAAGUUUUGAAACGGGAGAAUCUGUAGAAAACGUUGCUAAAUGUCAGGUAUGGGGGUAAAAACAUUCUGCACCGCAAUGUGAAUGACUUGGGAAAUAAAUAAAGAACAUUCCGUACGUCAUUGCUGUGCAGAUGUGUUAAUGAGCAGUGGAAUAAAAUGUAAAACCAUUAAUUAUACUGUCUCUAUUCAAACAUCGAGAAAUCAUAUAUUGAUUCCUAUUUUCAUAUUCUGUGUAGCAUAAAUUCGAUUUUUUUCAUAAAUAUAAUUUACUUUCUUUUCGCGAUUGAUCGGAAUAUCCGAUGCAAGAUUAUAACGUUUGAGUUUCGAGUUAUCGACGUUUAUAAUGUAUACGUAUACAUAAACCGUUUGAAAAUAUCGAUUCGGGUUUCACUUUCUAGUUUAUGUUUUCGACAAUAUAAUUGGAUUCGUUCGUAGGUCGAUUAAAUUUCACAGCGUUUGUCUCUCCGAAGAUUUCUCUGUUAGAAACGUCUGUGGUCAGAAAUCGUUUCCGAUUUACGAUCAAGAUGCCCCCUAGUGACCGCCGGGACGUAAUACCGUUUUGAUGAUGAGUCCGAUUGAAAACGUACGCAAAAAUACACGUUCGAAGCCCGGAUCAAUUGAGAGUUGCUUACGUAAGUUCAUGUUCAUUAAUCCAACAAUUGCGACGCGCGGAAGUUUCCAUUCUUCGAAUAAAACAGUAACAAUUGUAUACACAUUACAAGACUCGUUAUUCCGCUGUACACACGAGUCUCUGGGGAUUUCGGAUAAUACCGAGAACGAGACUCGCUUGUAAGCUCAAUACAUUUCUUCGUACAAAUAUGCUAAUUUAGGACUCCGGUAUUUUCCUACGACCUGCACACUACACUCAUUCGUUAAACUUUGCGAACACCUCGCUGAAUAUUAAUAAACAAAAUGUCAACAAACAUUUCAAGGCAAACUCAACCGGCAGUCGUACCGUUGAGUAGCAUGUGGGUCUAUGAUCUAAGGUAAAUGAUCAUCGGUCGAAUACUAGUUUCUUUUUCUUUUUACAAAUCUUUUUUGUAGUUACACGGUGACUCGGAGUUGGGAUACCCCUCGUUACAGUGAUUCUAAGAAUCAGAGUCCUUGGAUUUGACGAAAAUUUUGUUUGCGGACGUUGACGUCAAUAUUUCAAAGCCUCUAAACUCAUAUUCGUGCAUUCCGAACCUAACUACGUUACUUCUGAUGGCUAUCUAAUACCGUAAACUCGGGCGUAAACGUGAUGGGCAUCGCGUGUGCUUCGACGAGUGUUGAAUCGAUCGCUCAAGUGGGGGACACAGAACAAAACAAAACGUUAAUAUAACAAGUGUCGAAAACACAGCCGUUAUCGUACGCAGCAUCGUAUAACGUUAUACGCAUACGUAUACACGGGAUCCGUGCAGAUCAAAACUGGUUUCCUCUGGAAUUACCAAAUUAUGUUGCGUAUAUCAAAACGAACGGUCGCGGAGUGUGCCCGCCGUUUUUAUUAUCAUCAUUAUUUUUUUACGAAAAUAUUACAGGCGCAUAUCCACGAGCGUAUGACACGUGGUCGCAGAUAACAUCGCGGGCAUUUUACAUUUUAUUAUUCAUUUCACUAUGGAACGGCAAUAAACAAACAAUUAAGAGAAGCCAUCGACCGAAAAUACGGAAGUCUCUUACACGCUCCCGACUUAUCGUCUGUCGUCGAACCUGUCGUUAGAUUAUGUGCUGCAGGUAAUGGAGUUGCAACGGACGUGUCACGGGUGCAUUGGAAGAGGAAAAACAUCAAAAAAAUUAAAACAAUAAAAAAUUCACAGUUUUUCUUUUUUUAGAUCAAUCGUGCGAGUUAAUAUACUAAUUAAUUAUGCAGAUGCUUUGAUUUAUUGAAAUUUGAAAAAUGGGGAUAUACAGUCAAUGCGAUUCGAAUAUCUUACGAACGUCUUUUUCGCCUCGAUUAAAACCGCGUUUCCAUCGCAUACUUUACGACGUAUAUAUCGAUAAGCCAAAAUCGUUUGUAUAAAAAUAUACCCACGCCAAGCAAUAUUAUGGAAUUAGUUGAAGAAAUCUAAAUAAAACAUCGAAUGGUGUUUGAUGUGACGAUCGUCUAAUGUGAAGCGCGUUAACUUCGGGAAAAUUUCUCUCACACUCUAAUUGAAUAUUGUGUGUAUUCGUCGUAUUCGUCGUUUCUACAUUUUUCUAGAUUGUUCUGCCAAAUGCUCAACUGCCAGCAGCUGUUACAGGCGUCAUGUUGACUGAAGACCAGCAGGUACCGAAUUCACUGGAAGAACAGCAUAGUGCUGGUCGACCCUGAUAUUGGCAAGUUUCAGAUGAGUUAUUGUAAACUAAAUUAAUGGGGGUCGGUUGAAGGUACAUUUAUUUUUUCACAACAGGAACUCGAUCCCAAUUCUAUUGCGUCGUUUGUGGCGUGUGGGGAAAAAGAUUGAUCAUUCGGUAAUUAGAGUCGUGCAUCACCUCAAUUUGGAUGUUUCCCGAACAUGCAGAUAGCGUCUGCUCUAGUUUCUGUAUUGAAUCGCCGGUAAAUCCAUCGUAUCAUCGAUAACGAUGAUCGAUCUAAUUGAUCAGUAUAAAUGUCAUAUAGGUGUGUAUAAAGGGUGUCUCGGAAUUCGCGCCAAGUAUAAGUACAUAAUGUUGAUCCUUACCUUUACUUCCCUAUUCUAGUUUCUUACGAGGAUCAAUGUUACGUACUAACUUGGCGCGAAGUUCGAGACACCCUGUAUAUGUGUUCUAGAUACACAGAAAAAGAAAAAGAGCACAGGCGGUAUGUUCAACAAUUUGCGAUGCUACUGGGCCUUUACGUGAUCCUGAUCAAUAUUUCAAAUGUUUUGAACCGUAAUUGUUAUACCUGCGUGCAAUGUACUUGACGACAACGAUUGAUUCCCACACUUCUUGCUCCAAUGAAAAGUUUUUUUUACUGACUAUGAGUUGAUAUUUACGGCAUUCGAAAUGGUCGAUGAUUUUUUCUUAGUGAUUUUUUUUUUUUAUCUACUCCAAAACGUUUUUCUUUUUUUUUUUUGUGCCCGACGGAGCUAGCUACUCAAUGGCUAUAUGUGGAUUCCAGUUCUAUUUUUGGGGUACACGUUGCUGAUCUACAGCAUUCUAGAGGUUGUCAUUUGAAAUCUCCGCGACCAGACGAGAGUCUACGAGUUAUUUUCGUCCAGACUCCAGACAACCGGACCAGCCGCCAUGCAUAUUCACGAGAUUUGAAAUGAGAUGAAGAAAAAAAAAAAAACAUAUCAAGGGGAGUACGAAGUUUUUUCAAUUCAUUGCUAAUACAUGAUGAUGAUCCACAUCUAACUGAGAAAUUAAAACUCGUUUCACACGUGCAAGUAAUUAACGUCGAAGGCUGCGAUUGUAUAUUAUAUAGUUUCCCUAUAUCUAUGUGUGGCAUUAAAUGGAAUAGUCGACUUACGAAUUCACUUCGACGUUAAAAAAGUAAAUAGAAAACGUCGUAUGUAAUUCGUGAAUCGCUUUCUUCCUGCGUCGAAUUAAUUCAAUGCAACGGUCGCCUGGUUGGAACUUUGGUCAGAAUUUUAUCGUAAAUCGAUUAGGGGUCUCCGGUAUCUGAUGUAACAUCAAUUGAUGGACAUUAACCGAAAUCCAGAAUGAAGGAAAUAGAAAAAAAAAGAUAUUCGAGGUGUACAUGUAUAAUCAGGUCGAGGUUUCGCCCCGAUCAACUCGGUCGAUUAUCAGGUGUCCACUUGAGUUUCCGCAGUUAUACAAUCAUCAAGUGAUACAUAAUCGCUAAAUGGAAUUCUUGUGGAAAACUACUCACAAUUAGAACUGAUUGCCCUCGCUGCCUAAAUCCUCAAAUCCGAUUGUAUAACACGCCGAAGAAGAUUCCACGGUGGAAAAAAUUUUUCACAACGCUCGUUUAGCUCGUUACAUCCAAACGAUUUGGCGCUCAUAAUAUUCGUUCAGCUAUCCUAGAACUAUUCUAAAUUAUAUAGAUCUGUCUGUCCAAGAAAAUUUAUGUCAUCAUUAUAAAACUUGUCCAAUUCUCUACCCAUAAAAUAUUUUUACAUACGUUUAAAAAAAAAAAAGAAGAGAGAAUCGGUAUAGAUUUUCAGAUGAUAAUUUUGCGGAAUUCCGAACAACUUUAUCGCGUUUUUUCACGGUGUGAUUUUCUUUUCCAUUUUUUUUUUUUUUUGUUUUUUUUUUCUUUUUUAGUGAUUAGCGAACGCGUACGUUUAUGCAUUCCACUUGAACGCGUUGCAUCAUGGGUCGUAUUUGUAUAAACAAUGUUGAUUCAUCGGAAUAAGUCAGUCGACGUCACCUCUGGUGAGCCAUAAGUAUUGAGGAAUGUUUUAUUAAACGUGAUUCCCUGUAGUUUUAUUUUUUUUUACGUCCUUGCCCAGUUCAAGGUGGUGGUGUUAUUACUAUAUACAUAUUCAAAUCAACAGCGAUAACUAACCGCUAGGAGGGUAAUUUUUUCAUUAUGUACAAUAAAUCCGUUCAAUUGUUCAAAUUAAAGAGAUGACGUCAUAGGUUAAAAUGGAGCAAGCGAAAGCGGCUUAAAUAUGUAUCAACUAUGGACGUAACGCAGGGUACGUAUACAUCUAUAUCCUCACGAAAUAUUUUUCUACGGAUUAGACUAUCAUUGGAAACGUUUAGUCAAUAAACAUACAUAAUACAUAUGUAUGUGUACGUAUACAUUCUUUAUAUAUGAAAAAACUUAAGCUGCAUCGGCGCACCUGUGCUACGGUAUAAUGAACCAUAACACUAAUAAAUAUAUGUAUCGAGUAAAGGUUUAUCACCUGCCGCCCGAUCGUAUUUUGUUUUCAAGGUGAUGAAAAAUAUCCGAAUAAUAACAAUGAAUAAAAGUUGAGAAACAUUGUUCAUUACAGUGGCGAUAUUUCAUUACGUAUGUGCAUACCCGUUCCACGCAGCUGCAAUACUCGUGGUCCCACGAGGCCCAAGAUCAAGAGUUCAUUCCGCAGUAAAAGAAGGCUACUUCGGUAAGUGUAUCCAGAGAAACCGGUCCGGGGAUCCCCGCGUUAUUUAUUUCCUGUUGCACCGCGUUGACAAUGAGGCGAAGAGACAUAAAACUCGAGAAAACGAUACUACAUCACUCUAUAAUGGUAUUAUAUCUAGGCGUAAAAAGAUCCCAGUGAUUCCCUACGUUGGAAAUAUCAUACUUAAUAGGUAUGAUUUAGAUGCCCUUCAACUCAUCGUACCCAGAGGCGCGCAUUUCCUGCAACUGUGAUCGAAGGAAAUGCAAAAAAUUCACGUGUAAUAUAAGCCAUGAGCGACAUAAAUUAUCGGCGCGUAUGACAAAAACGCGAAGGAGACCGUGACCAGCAAAUCAUCAGGCAUCCCAUUAGAAACGGGUCUGCAGUCAGUAUGUCGAUGGAUCGAGAUUCGCGGCAGCGACGAAUCGUCGACGAGUACCGCGUGGCGGACCCCACAUGCGGAAUUUCAUUCGGAUCUGUCGAAAUAGUGACCGUCAAAGUUAGUGAAAAAACGGAAUCUUCGUUUUCUCGUUCGCAGAACCGAACUUGGGACACUGAUAUCUUUCGAAUCGUUGCACGGAUUUGCAAGAUCAGAGUCGUUUUGACUUUCUCCGUCAAGUACUGCAAAGGACGGACGCAACCGCCAAGUUUACUCGUAUGAUUUUAGAUAACUUGGCUUUCAGACUGCCUCUGAAUUCCAGACGACAUCUAUUUGCGCAAAGGUCUCAGUACUCGGCGUCAUAUUUUUAUUUCACUGCAAAGAUAAAGCGCAAGUUUUUGAUAGAGUAGCCUGCAAAGGUACUUGGCGGCUCUCUUUUUGCCUCUGGAAAGUUUUUGGCGUUUUUUGUGAAAUAUGUUAUACGGGCUUCGACGGAUCUAUCAGAUGGUGAUAUCUAUAUUUCCAUAAUUCUACUAUUUGAAUAUUUAUCGUGAUUCGAUGAAGCCGUAUCGUACGGAACUAAAAAAAAAAUUGAGGAGCUCAGCACGGCUGCAAUUUCGCCAACUCAAAAACAGACGCAACUUAUUAUUAUUAUACUUAUAUACGCGCAUAUAUUAAUAAAUAUGCCGAUGGAAUUCUUUCUUCUUUUUUUAGACCAUGCAGAUGCUGCUCACUUUGCAGGAGAACCGUUUCACCGGUUGUGUUCCACCUACCCUCGGGUUAUUUGCAACUCAUUCGAUUCGUCGGUUAGAAUUUUCGAGACGCAAAACUGGGCGCAUCGUCCGGUCCCAUUCAACGGUCUUGAUCGAGGUCUCGACGGCGGUUUCCUCAUCGCGGCAAAAGCUGCAAGGCUAUCGUCGCGAGAGACCUUUGACUUCGAUUGGCUUCGAUCCCGCCCCGAGCGUAUGCCUGUAUUUUGCAGUGUGGAUUUUUCUCUCGCGAUCGCUCUCGGGAACAUUUCGCGUAAAAUUCACUCCGCGAAAGUGAUGGAAAGUAAAAUGAAUAAAAAUCAAUCGAUGAUCGCGCGACUGGUACAUCGAGCAACGUUCUUCGGUCAAAUGUAAAUAAAUAACAUAAUUAUGGACGAGGAUGAAAAAAUAAUAGAAUAACAGAACUUCGUAUCGUUACAAUAUAAUUGAUGCGUUCUGAAAAGCCGAUGACCGUAUGUGACUACUCCGAUAUUCGUUGCAGUUUUUAAUGUACGAACAUGAUUUUCCCGACGGCUCAUUUAGCUCAGAAGCAUACAAAUCUAUGUCAGAAGUUUCCGAUGAGUUCAUUCGUGAUUCUGGGGUAACUGGGAAAGGUAUAUUAUUCACCACCAUUAAAUUAGGAAAUAAUCAACAGGAUGUAGUAAAUUGCGGUUUGGAUCAUCGACUCUUUUACAUGAAUUUCACCUCUAGUAGAUACGAAAAAUUGAAAAAAAAAAAGAAAAAGAAUGACUGACUAACCAGAAUUCUGUUGAAUUCAAGGGGCCAUCGCGAGUCGAUGUCGCAGUCACGAGCCGCCUGCGGAGUCAAAGAAACCGGAAUGCUUGCCGUAGGAAGAAAGAAAUCCAACAUGUGAGAAAAAAAUGAAUAAUAAUGAGAAAAAAAAAAAAAUGAAAUGCAACGAACGAAAAUUUUCAGGUAAAUGCGAUAAACCGAUCGGAGCGAUUCUUACGAGUCGAGGCAGAAAAGUUAAAAACACAUUUCGAUUGUUUUUUAUUUCAUCAAUGUUUAUUGCUGCGCGUUAUUGGAAUUCCGCAACCUUUCGUAUUGUUCCAUCCGUCGAAUGAUCCCUCCCUCACUAUUCCACUUAUGGUCUAAACGUGUUAUAGAAGACUAGAUGUUUGACUUAUUUCUGCGAAGAUUUCGAACUGUCCAAAUGAAAUUCAUGAUUUGCAAAACCAGAUGUUCCGUUGACUUCAAGCUAAAAAAAAAUGAAUUUAAUCGAAGAAAGAAAAAUAAUAUUUAAUCACAACAUUCAGAACGCGGAUCGGAAUUUCUACCGCAACUCGGAACCGUAUACUUUAGCCUGGGGUACAUUCUGCUGGCCGGAAUAAUUGUAGUCAGCAAAAAUAGACGUUAUAUUUCUGAAGUGUAUACCGUAAAUUUUUUUUCUGAUAUUAAACAAAUUGCGAAGGUGAUCCAUAAUUUUGAUUUUUCAUCAGAUGAUGCCGUACCAACCGCGUUGUUGUUCAGGUUAUGAAAUUAUGCGAGAAUAAUUUCAAUUUUUGAUAAAUUAAUUUUACGCAAUUACGGACGGCAUUUAUAAUAGCUGUAAACUCAUGUGUUCGGACUGAUCAAUUCACGGUGAAGAUGAAAAAACAUGGUAUAAAUUCUUUCGAAAGGUACAUCUUUAUAUAUGUACUUGUAAUAUUAUCUUUCGAACGUCGUAUGCGCUAACGUCACGACAAUGUAAAUAUACACAAUUCCUGCUUUCUCGCCAUAAUUAUCCGUCUUAUUGUUACAUUAAUUCAUUUCAAUGUUGUUGACUCGCUCAAAAUAAUUAUUGACAAUCGGGAUAUAAUUAUAAAUUAUUAUUGAUCCGUUAUAACAGCACGAUACGGUGCAAAAUCGGUCGUACCUAAAUUGAUUUUUGUUAAAAUAAAAAACACUGUAAUCUAACUAUUUAUGUAACACAAAAAUGAACAAUCUUCGAUAACAUUUUGACUCGGUGCUUUUUUCUGUACUUUUAAUCAACGGGGCGCAUGGGGUUGCAAAAAAUAGUAGAAAAGGUUGCUCGUAAUUGUUCCAUAAAUAUAAUUCACAUAGUUGAUAAGCUCGGGUAAAAAUAAACACAAACAUGUUGUUCCGCCGCUAUUUUGUGCAGCGUGCGCGUGCGUGUUGAUCAAACACUCGCAAUAAAUAACCAAAUACCAGAGUCAGAUCAAUAGAAAUUUAUUAAAUAUUUACACAAGCGGCGCUUGCGACGACGCUAGGACGUACGUAGGUAGGCGCUUAGGUGCAAUCAAAUUGAUGAGAGCAAAAAAAUAGAGUGCGAAAAUAUCCCGUACGUGUACACGUAAUCAUGCCUAACGAAUGAUUUCCAGAAUUAUUCAAAUGUAUACUUUUUUUUUUUUUUGCUAUAAAAUUGUUAUUCAUAAAAAGGAAUUGUUCGAUAGAAUCUGUCGUACGUUGCUCGUAUACGUAUAUACCCAGACACCAAGUAUAAUGUAAUUGUGCAAUCAAUAAUUAUAUCUUGACGUAUACUUGCCCGAGGAUUAUGAUUACAUACACACAUCGAACCUUCGCUUUUUCUAGUUACAAAUUUGAUGAAUAUGUAUAAUUACCGUGUGAUUAUUGUCCUUCAUUUUUACCAUAGUAACCUCAUUCUUAGUUUUAUCAUAGCCUCAUUUCUUGCGAUUAAAUCCAACGUGAUUUAUUACCGAGAACUUGGAUAAUUCGAAUUGUUAUUUUUUAUACAUAUAAUGUAUUUACGUGAACCAAUUCAAUAUUGAACAUAGAACCGUAGAUAUAUCGAACUAGAACUGAAUUUCAGGGAUCCUCUUAAGCCCCCGAUAAUUCCAUUUUUUCAGUUCAUGGUGAAACGCGAUUCUGAUAUCGCAUAAUAUUUGAAUAAUUGAAAUCUCAGUGGAACUGACAAUAAAUCCUGAAGAAUUUCACCAAUUUGGAACAUCUGCGGCCUUACGAACGUAUAGGUACGUCUAUGUGGAAUGCGAGUCUCCUUAUGCAUGUGCAAUAUAAUUUAUGCAUUCUAAUCAAAGUGCCUCGAGGAUGUAAUUAUCACGUAAAAUCUUCAUUGAUAUAUGUAUACGGCAUACGCAUGUAAGUACAUUCGGAGUGCUGAAAAGCUAGUAUUUCUGUAACUGCAUAGUCACAGUGUAAAUUUCAGAUACCUAGAAUUCUCGUGACGUAUGGAAUAGAGCCCGUGGGGUCUUGCGAUGGUUGGGUAUAAAAACAGUCGCAAGUCUUAAAUAAAACAUGAGAGACAGCUGUAAACGCAAGCGAAAAAGCGAAUCAUCCCAUAGGUGUAUUUACGGAGACUCAGAAUUUCUCGGAUUAUAAAUAUAUUUGCACCUGAAAACUGGAAGCUCCCGCGAGUCCUCCCGCAAAUUUAAAUUCUUGCUGCCGUAAGACAAAUCGUACGUCAUAAUCUUUUCACGUAUUUAUCGAUUUAUUUAGUUAAUUUUAAUCCAACGACAUAUCGCGUGACGCAAUUAUAAAAUUGAGAGAUCCAACCGGUGUGCCUAGAUUCUGAGGAAAAAAAGAAGAAAACUAUAGGCACGUAUGUAUAAUUGCAACGUUCGUCAAAGUUAAAAUAAGAAAAAAAACAAAACAAAACAAAAAAAAACAAUCUCUCUCAACUACGCGGUGUUCCGAGUCGGAUUUAAGAAAGAGCAAAAAUGAAAUAAAGAAUAGAAAAACGUCACGAACGUAAGGCACAUACUCGUACUUGUUCUCUCUCCGCUUCUUUUAUUUGUAUAAUCGCGUGCGGUAUAUAGAUAUAACACAUGAAAUAAUGCAACAUUAUUCCUUACAAUAGUUACAGUCACGUUAAAUCCACAGCAAUUAGCAAUAAAUCAUUAUUUUUUGAUAAUACAUCAUUAUAAUCUUUCAACGAGUAUUUUUUUCAUUUUUCUAUUAACAGGCUUAUAGGUGUACCGAUUCUUGAGAACCCGCGUGUAUAAUAUUGUGACAUUAUGCAUACUUCCGUAAAUAAUAUCCUGCACUUCAUCCGUUGCGUUUGCAGAAGGCUUGUAGUUUUCAUAAUCCUAAAAUCUAACACCGCAGUGUCCAUCGCAGUGAACGAAUUCUACUGUAAUUGCACAAUUUUUCUCAAUUCGAUUUUUUUAAAUAAACGAAUUACCUUUAUCAUCUAUCGGAUGUUUCGUUUCACGAUUUGACAGCUCAUUGUCAGUAGUCGAUAUAUCAUCAGUGGAUAAUUGUUUUCAACUUUUUUUUAAAUUGUAAUAUUCUAGUUGCCGAUUGAACAUGGUCUGUAACAACGCCGCCGCGGUAUUCAUACGCGCGUAUUAAAAAAAGCCAGAGACUUUUGACAAAAAGGAAAAAAGAAAUAAAAAAUCUAAUCACGAGUGAAAUCCGGCUUUUAAUAUUUCAGUUUUAUGGCUUGGGUCCCAUCGUAACGAGCUUUUAAAACUAACUACGUAGAUGCGAAUUUCUAUAUACUAUAAUGACGCGGGCGCGCUCUUUUUUUUUUUCUCUGGCCAAGAUUCGAAGGCCCCGGAGAAUUCACCCCAAGGAUCUGCACGGUAUAUUACCGGUUCAUCACCCAUUACAGCUGUACACCCUAUAUGCAAAAAGAGAAGAAAAAGGCCGAAACUAAAAACUCAUCAUCAUUAUCGUAGAUUCAAGUAUAUACUUCAUGUACAUAUAUUGUAUGUACAUACACAUAGGUACGAAGUAAUGUAACUGAAAAAUAAGUCCAGAUAUGCCACAACAUCCGAAGGUAUUUCCGGCCAGACGUCUUGCCCUUAUAUUACAAGGUAAUAUAUCUUCAAGGAGAUCGAUCUGGCGGAGGUCCGGGUAAACGAGAGAAUAAAAAGAAAGUCGCGCGCUGUGCAGGGGAUUUCGUUUCCACCGCGAUCACAGAUGAGGAGAUCAACGAGGAAAAAGAGUGGAGAAAAAACCUGGACGUUUUGACGAGGCAAUCUACGAUGCAAGAAAUAAAUUGUUUCGGUGUACACACGUAUUAUAUUCGACAAAAAUUCUGACGUGCGCGGCGAUGGCUACAAUCAUAAUAAGCCCCGUCGUACCGCUAUUAUAAAAUCGCGAUUAAAAAAUAGCGAACUUGUGCGGCGAGUAAAUUCUACAGCCAAUUAAGAUCGAUGAAAAAAGUUCUUGUUCGAAUGAAUCUCCAGACUGUAAUAAUGGAUUGAAGAGACGGAAAUAAAGUCGGUCUCAUUUAACUCUACCGGCCAAAUAUUGUCUUUUUGAUCAUUUCUAUUAUGAAUUACACCUGUACGGUAUUCCGAAUUGUGGGAAAUUGUGGGCGUUCGCCGAUGUGUAAUCAGUGAUUAAAGGUGGCCGCACUCGUGGCAACAACCGCGAGACACUCGGAUCCACCAAUCAGAACAAAAUCAAUAAUGGUUUGAACGUCGCAAUGUACGUACGUAUUUCGCGGUGCACGUGAAACACGAGAUACAGGUGUGCCGUUCGGGAUUCGAUUCUGGGUGGGUAGAAAUUCUGUAAAUUUUGUCUUCACAAUGUAAGUCUAAAAAUAAUAUCGUCACAUGCCGAUCGUGAUAUGGAUAUUACCGGUGCUUAUCUUUGCAGCAAGCAACUAAACGGGCUGAAUACUUUACUCUUAAUGACGCAAUUGUCAAUAACAGGUUGACUUAGACAUAGGAUCUGUACAAGAGUGAGAUUGAAAAAAGACGAAAACCUAAAAAGAAGCCAAAUCCGGCACUCUAGUGACGCAAAUCGGUGCCUGGAAAGGAUGAUAAAAUUAAAAAAAAAAAAAAAAAAAAAAAAAAAAUAGAAAAGAAACUGGAUUCAACCGCAAGAUGGGUGUGUCUGUUAGUUGCUAAAAAAAAAAAAAAAAAUUCUUCAAAAAGAAAAAGACGUUUGAGAGGCUGCUAAACUUGUAUCUAAAGAGAUCAAGACCACGUAUUCGCGAUCAGGUGAGAACGUUUAUCAACGAAAUUAUAACGUUCAAGGCUAUACGUGCAUGUUGAUACAUAGUUACGUUGACGAACCAACGUAAUUACCUACCUACCUAUCCCGAAAACUGUAGUCAAUGGAAUCGGACACUCGAAAUACCAAGAGUUUUGAUCCGACCACAUUCGAAUUUGAUCAAGAUCUAUCAAUUGGUAGUUGAAACACAUACAUGUAUAUUUAAUGCCAAAGUAAUUGAAAUAGGACAAUUUUCUCCUUCUUUUUGCAGACUCAACCUUGAAGACACUAUACAAUAUCUUUAAAAUUGUCGUAUGGUUUUCUUUCAGAUUUGACACGAAGGUUUCUACCCGCGCGUAUCCUCAUUCGGAUGCGCAUACCCGUAUAAUAUGCUUGAAUUUGCUCGAUCGAUCAGGCAACUCAGCUUUGCAUUGAUUUUAUGUUACUCGGCAUCCUAUAUUGGAUUAACUUGUCACGCACUUUUUUUCUCUCCGAAUAUUAUAGGCGCGCCGUUCAUAAAUCAUCGUCGGCACAUUUGGUAUACGUGUAGGUACAGCACCGGCGUGGAUCUGACCAAGGAAAUAUUUAUCCCGUUCAAGAUGAAAUAUCCGCUUCGUAAUAAUUGACAUACAAUAAUUAUGAUAGCUGCACCUAUCGUACACAGCGCGUGUGUUUCAGUUGAUUUUUUGAUCAUUCACUUCUUCGAAAAACAUUUGUUCAGGGGUCUUUUAUUGCUGGUAAAGUUUGUCGGGAUUCAACCGCGAAUUUCAAGUUCGCUGGUAUUUUUUUAUUUAUUUAUUUUUUUCUUUUGAUUCUUACUCACGUAUCCGACGAAAUAUGCGUAAAAAUGAAACAGGAUGUGUAGAAACAUGCGAUGUUCCAUAAGGUUUGUAUCAAAAUUUGAGAUUGAGAAAAGGAAAUUAAGUAUAGAAUGGGGCGGAUGGGGUUGAAUCAUAUGAAUGAAUGCGAUAAUUUCGUGGACCCGAAUCGAUGAAUUGUAUUUUAUUGUACAGAAUUCGUGGGAACCCAGUCUUUUCUCAUAUAUUAAACCGUAAGAUUUUCAAGGUUUGUGUGAAACGAACGGCGCGUCCACCUUGAGAUUCUUUAUACAUGAAAAGAGUAAUGAAAAUUGAUAUAUAGUGGUCAUGGGGUUCGGUUGAAAAAAAGCAAAAUUAACCUUGAUGAUUGGUAAAAAACUUUUUUGACACAUAUGAGGAGGUAUAGGAUGAGUUCAAUGAAUCAUUCAACACUUUCCAUAUAAAUUUGUCCGUACACGUUAAAAUUCGUAGUAUUCGUUCGUUGGAAUAUAUGGCGAGUCAUUUUUUUCAAACACGAAUAUAUGCAGAAUCACAGGAACUUUUAAGGUUUGCCGUAAGCCAAUUUUCCACAUUUAACCGUCGAAAAAGUGAAUCAUGCAUUUCAUUCGUCCAUAAUUUGUAUUAAACAUCAUUCUCUACAUAAAUGCGAGGUCUGGAAACGAGGCGAGUUUACAGAGGAUAAACCGUCGGGGGGCAAUUAAAAAUGAUUUAAAUAUAGUCUGCAUGGCGUGGUUUGUCUAACCAAUUAAUCUCGCGCUCGAUAAGGAACUUGAUUACUGUGCAUAAAAAGUUACAGGGUCAGAAGGGUUAUCAACGGUAUAUACAACGAAUCUGUAUUCGUUACGAACAUCACACAUUUCUGCGGAAGGAUCAUCAGAUUCCCAGCUAUGUGUGAUGAAACAUUUUCAGAUGUUAUAAAUUCACAUGCGGUGCGCCACGUUAUUUUCUGUCGAUAGCUGCGUCAGGAAAUUACAGGAGAGAUAGAUGUUCAUGUACAGUGCAUACUCGUGCACGUCGAUUAUCACGCGGUAAUUUUUAUCUCUUUCCAGCGGUCGCUUGACAACCUUUGACACAAGCCGUGUCUGCUACGUUAAUUAUUUUCGUCCGAAUAAGAGACGGGGGACAUUUUGAAACUGGAGAAUGGCGGUCAAUGUUUCAGACAAAUACUGAUUACACAGAUCGCCGGUCGGAUUUGACGGUUAUAUAGAAUUGUACCGCGAGAAACCGUUGAAGAGUCAAUGGUACGAAUUUCAAAUAACGUAAUUUAUCGGGUCAGAUCGAAUCGAUAACGCGAUUCAUCUCGUAAGAUGAGGUUAAUCCACGUGGGUCACGCAAUUACGAAUGCAGACGACACGUUUCAUUAUGAAACUGUAACGCAUGAUCGCUGAGAAUAUCACGCCAACUCCGCAAUAUAAUCUACUACACGUGGAGAUACGAACUCAAUCGUGGUUGAGUAGAACGAAAUGUAAGACUAUACAAAUCGAGUACUUCACAUUCACGGGGCAAUGGCCCAUAAUCGAAAGUUUAUUUUGGUUGAGAAAAAAAAGGGGGAUCUCCCCUGUCUGGAUUGUGUAUACUACGCUGCCGACGGGGGUAUUCGAGAUGGGUUUUCCCUGAGAAAGUACAUGUGAUCAAUUAACCGAUCCACCAAACAUCGGGGCGACCGACGUACCAAACUUGGGGCAAGAGACCAGCGGAGUCGCUGACAUUCACAUUGGUUCGCGCACAAAUGGUACAAAAAUUGGGUCAAGUUUGCGAUCUCUCUUUUUGCAGGCAUCGCGGUGCAGUAAUAUAGUUACGACGUAUAGCAUAUGCGUAUUAAGUUUUUUAACGAUCGAACGAUCGUCGUAAAUUAACGAACGUGGUUCUUUCACCUAUUCGCGAAUCACGUCUCAUAUAUAUGACGUAUUUCUUACACGUCGUGAUAUGCGAAAUAAACAAAGUCGAUCGGUAAAAAUGAUCAACAACAAUUGUUUAUUUUGUUGAUGUUUUUCGACCAAAAUCUAAUCUCUCGCUUACGAGUAAUUUCCCAGAUGUAGAAUUGCUAUGUACGGGACUUCCGUUGAAUCCAUCAAUAUAAAAUUUAUACCUCGCCGUUUUACGGCUCCAACCUUGACGCUUUGUCUCGAUUUCGAUGAUUUGCAGAAAUUUUGUGACAAGUUUUCAGGAUUGAUCUGAGAAAAUGCACCGCGAACUGUGAUAUCGUAUAGAUUUCCUGAUGUUAUCGACUUGCAGUCGUUUGGUUCUUGCGAAAUGUAGAUAAAGGGUUCAAAAAUCAGAGUUGAUGUAUAUAUAAAUAGAAUUAUCAACAAAUCUUAUCGCGCUAAUAGGUAUUUACUUUUCACGUUGUAAUCUCAUAAUAUGCCAACGGAUGAAAAACUAUGUCAGCUGAUGGAAGGACGUAAUUGAUUAAAUUGAUCAAAUUAGAAAUAGGUCAAGUGUAUUUUGAGGACCCCUAGCUGUAUUAAAAUGCACACGAGUCAUUCACUUCCUAACCUGUAGUAGUUACCAUACUGCAGACUGACACUCUCAUUAUCAGCAUCCCGAAACGGUAGAAAAUGAUAAUCAUCAAGGAACAAUCAAAUCUGCGAAUUUAGGUACACGACCGCAGUAUGUAAUACAGGAUGAAGACCAGGGGAUAAAAAACAUUCAUGUAUCGUCAUACCAACGUAUCGGACUAAAAGUAUUGGUAUAGCGUAGAUAUAUUGAACUUUGUAGUGUUUGAUCGAUGAGUUAAUCGAAGUGAUUAAUUUCUCCCAUUUUAUAGUGAAAUCCAGAGAAUAUGUCUCCAUAAAUCUUUGCAGAGUUGACUAAUCCAUACGGCACGAGUAUGAUGUACUUGCGAUUUUGCUUUAUAAGUUGAUUCACCGCCCAAGCCAAAAAACUAUAACCGGCAGUAAUAAAUAUCGCGAUGCAAAUUAGCGAGUGAAUUAUUAGAACACUUCAAGAAAUGAACAGGAGAUUAAUGAAAUCGACUGGUGCGAUGUGCACAUAUUCAUGAAAUAUAUAAAAUUAACGCGACAGGCUUGAAUAGUUUCACAAAAUUUAGUUGUAAUGCGGAUCUAAUUGAAGAUAAAAAAUAAGAUAUAUAGAUAAGAAAGGCGAUCAGCAAGCCGAAAAUGUACUCCAUUGAAUAAUUUAACACUGCUUUGACUCAUUUAUUUUACUCAAAUGAAAGGAGUUGUAAGAAAAGGUCUUAACUUGGCGCUACCAAAUUAAUUCUCGGAUGGUCCUAAAAAGUGGAAUCAGGGUAAGUUCAGUUUCUCAAAUGAAAUACACCAUGUACUCUGCAUAUCAGAAUCGAAUAGAGUGGAAAAUUUUAUGCGAAGAAUAAUGUUGACCUAUUUUCAUUUACCUAAAGUCAUAAUAUAGAUACAGCGAUAAGGUAUCUGUAACUGUUGGAACAAUCUGAAUCUAGAUGGUAUGCUCAAAGUUUCCAUUUGAUGAAACUGAAACUUUUUCAAUUCAAUGUUGAUUGAGAGAAUAUUGUAUGUGCAUGUAUAGUAUUCUAUGUGUGUCAAUUACUGAUCGAAAUGAAAGACUUGCAAUUUU